rnacentral:rRNA from 1 species
GACGAACCGUGCAAACGUUAUUCGGAAUCACUGGGCUUAAAGGGCGCGUAGGCGGGCCGCCAGGUCCGGGGUGAAAGCCUCCAGCUCAACUGGAGAAGUGCCUUGGAUACCGGCGGCCUCGAGGGAGGCAGGGGCGUGCGGAACUUCGGGUGGAGCGGUGAAAUGCGUAGAUAUCCGAAGGAACACCGGUGGCGAAAGCGGCGCGCUGGACCUCUACUGACGCUGAGGCGCGAAAGCCCAGGGGAGCGAAACGGGG